rnacentral:rRNA from 1 species
GACAGAGGGUGCAACCGUUGCUCGGAAUCACUGGGCGUAAAGGGCGUGUAGGCGGGUAGAUAAGUCAACUGUUAAAUCUUGAGGCUCAACCUCAAAAUCGCAGUCGAAACUAUUCGACUAGAGUAUAGUAGGGGUAAAGGGAAUUUCCAGUGGAGCGGUGAAAUGCGUAGAGAUUGGAAAGAACACCGAUGGCGAAGGCACUUUACUGGGCUAUUACUAACACUGAGAGACGAAAGCUAGGGUAGCAAAUGGG